AGAGCUCGCGAGCCCCUUGCCACCGAGGCCGGCGGGAUGGAGACAGGGACCGGCUGCUGGGGUUUGGGAGGGGCAGAGAUUGAGGAGCCAGUUGCUGUGCCCUGUUCUGGCAAAAGAACAAGAUGCGUUGCAAGCCAGAAUGAUGAAUUCCACUUUUCACGUCGCCUCCGUGGCAUUCUGCCUAAAUGAUGGGCAUGGAAAUGGUGCUGAGGGAUGUGGGCUGAAUCGAGAACACAGGGACUUUUGUCUUCAGGGUGAGAAAUGUUCCGGUCCUUAAGGAAACAUCGUGCAGCAGUUGCAUGGGUCUUCCAGGCGUUCCUCCCAAAACAUUAUUUUUUUUCUUUCACUAUUGAGUUUUAAAACUUAGCGUUCUGUCGCUAGCAUUGCAUCUUAGUUACACAUCCUCUCCCACCCAUAACGUCAAAUUUAGGAGACGAUACAUCCCCAAGCUUUCCUGCAUUAUUUUUUGCAGUAACUGGUUAUUCAGUUUACUUUCUUUAAACUAUGUCCUUCUCAAACUAGUCUCACCUGUUCGUUACUGUCGCACAUUUCCUGCGAAUAACACGUUUCUGUAGUUCUGUUGUUAGAGCCUGGCAUACCUCUCCCCGUUCCUCUUUCCCACAAGGUCAUCAUGCAGAGGGGAUUUUGGUCUGAGUUAAAAGCCAGGUAUUCUUUCACCAUCUUUUCUGUCGAUAGUCAAACUACUACAAAGACUACUCAAAUUUAGUAGUUUCUUAUUUCCCUAUAGCUUCGUUAUAUUAGAAUGGAUAACUUAUAUUUGCAUUACCUUGCUGUAAUGAACACACACCAAGUUUUCAUUUAAAAUUAUCAAGGACAAAUGUCCUCUGAAUUUAAAAAUGUGUAUGUAGUAAAAUAUAACUCAGCAUUUCUUGAUUACAUAUCAUUAAAAUAUGAAUGGUACUAUCUGAGCCACCAGAAUCAGCAGUGAAGGUAUUAUAUUAAUAAAAAGGACUAAGAAUCAGGACUGUUUUAAGGGAACUGGAACCGAAGAGGAUCUACUAUUUCAUCCUAGGCUAGUUAACAUGAAAUAGUGAAUUAAAAUUGAAAGAGCUUACAUGGAUGCUUCAUAUCUGAGCUACUUUGGCAGGGAUGUUUCAAGAGGAUGUAGAUGGUAAAACUGAGACACAGA
rnacentral:lncRNA from 1 species